rnacentral:tRNA from 1 species
GACUCCAUAGCUCAGUUGGAUAGAGCAUCUGCCUUCUAAGCAGAGGGCCGCUGGUUCGAAUCCAGCUGGAGUCACCA